rnacentral:sRNA from 1 species
UUGCCAAAUUGCUAUCCUUUAAACAUCCCUUUAUUAUUAAAAGGCAAGUACAAAUUGAAAUUUUGUCUAAUUUGGCCUCAAUUUUGAUUUCAAUUUUGGAUUUUGUUCUUUGCUAUUCAAAAUCAUUAAGGGUAAUUUGGUCUUAACAAUCUCCUAAACUUUAUAUGAUCUGAUUCAAUCUAAACCGUUCAAUAAAAUUAAAUCUCUUCAAUCUAAACCGUUCAACAAAAAUAAGGAAUCUAUGUCGUUUUUGAAAUCAAAAUAUGAUCACAUUCCAUAUCUAAAAACACUAUAUUCAAUCACGAAAUCAAUAAUCAAUAAUAUCAAAAUCAUAUAUUAGAUUCUUCACUAAUCACUAAAAAUUUAUAU